GGUCCCAUAGCUCAGUUGGUUAGAGCGUCGUACUAAUACUAUGACUGGUGUGCAAGCAUCCCGUAGCAUUGGUAAUGCGAAGGUCGUGAGUUCGACCCUCACUGGGACCA